rnacentral:rRNA from 1 species
AGAGUUUGAUCCUGGCUCAGGAUGAACGCUAGCUACAGGCUUAACACACGCAAGUCGAGGGGCAGCAUGGUCUUAGCUUGCUAAGGCCGAUGGCGACCGGCGCACGGGUGAGUAACACGUAUCCAACCUGCCGUCUACUCUUGGACAGCCUUCUGAAAGGAAGAUUAAUACAAGAUGGCAUCAUGAGUCCGCAUGUUCACAUGAUUAAAGGUAUUCCGGUAGACGAUGGGGAUGCGUUCCAUUAGAUAGUAGGCGGGGUAACGGCCCACCUAGUCUUCGAUGGAUAGGGGUUCUGAGAGGAAGGUCCCCCACAUUGGAACUGGGACACGGUCCAAACUCCUACGGGAGGCAGCAGUGAGGAAUAUUGGUCAAUGGGCGAGAGCCUGAACCAGCCAAGUAGCGUGAAGGAUGACUGCCCUAUGGGUUGUAAACUUCUUUUAUAAAGGAAUAAAGUCGGGUAUGCAUACCCGUUUGCAUGUACUUUAUGAAUAAGGAUCGGCUAACUCCGUGCCAGCAGCCGCGGUAAUACGGAGGAUCCGAGCGUUAUCCGGAUUUAUUGGGUUUAAAGGGAGCGUAGAUGGAUGUUUAAGUCAGUUGUGAAAGUUUGCGGCUCAACCGUAAAAUUGCAGUUGAUACUGGAUAUCUUGAGUGCAGUUGAGGCAGGCGGAAUUCGUGGUGUAGCGGUGAAAUGCUUAGAUAUCACGAAGAACUCCGAUUGCGAAGGCAGCCUGCUAAGCUGCAACUGACAUUGAGGCUCGAAAGUGUGGGUAUCAAACAGGAUUAGAUACCCUGGUAGUCCACACGGUAAACGAUGAAUACUCGCUGUUUGCGAUAUACAGCAAGCGGCCAAGCGAAAGCGUUAAGUAUUCCACCUGGGGAGUACGCCGGCAACGGUGAAACUCAAAGGAAUUGACGGGGGCCCGCACAAGCGGAGGAACAUGUGGUUUAAUUCGAUGAUACGCGAGGAACCUUACCCGGGCUUAAAUUGCAGAUGAAUUACGGUGAAAGCCGUAAGCCGCAAGGCAUCUGUGAAGGUGCUGCAUGGUUGUCGUCAGCUCGUGCCGUGAGGUGUCGGCUUAAGUGCCAUAACGAGCGCAACCCUUGUUGUCAGUUACUAACAGGUUCCGCUGAGGACUCUGACAAGACUGCCAUCGUAAGAUGUGAGGAAGGUGGGGAUGACGUCAAAUCAGCACGGCCCUUACGUCCGGGGCUACACACGUGCUACAAUGGGGGGUACAGAGGGCCGCUACCACGCGAGUGGAUGCCAAUCCCAAAAACCUCUCUCAGUUCGGACUGGAGUCUGCAACCCGACUCCACGAAGCUGGAUUCGCUAGUAAUCGCCCAUCAGCCACGGCGCGGUGAAUACGUUCCCGGGCCUUGUACACACCGCCCGUCAAGCCAUGGGAGCCGGGGGUACCUGAAGUGCGUAACCGCGAGGAGCGCCCUAGGGUAAAACUGGUGACUGGGGCUAAGUCGUAACAAGGUA